rnacentral:rRNA from 1 species
AGAGUUUGAUCCUGGCUCAGGAUGAACGCUGGCGACGUGCCUAACACAUGCAAGUCGAGUGCGCUUCGGGCGCACGGCGAACGGGUGAGUAAUGACAAGGAACAUACCUCGAACACGGGAAUAACCCGCCGAAAGGUGGAAUAAUGCCCGAUAGUCCCGCAAGGGUAAAUGCUCCGGCGGUUCGAGAGUGGCCUUGUUCCUAUCAGCUUGUUGGUGGGGUAAUGGCCUACCAAGGCAACGACGGGUAGCUGGUCUGAGAGGAUGAUCAGCCACAAUGGGACUGAGACACGGCCCAUACUCCUACGGGAGGCAGCAGUUGGGAAUAUUGGACAAUGGGCGCAAGCUUGAUCCAGCGACGUCGCGUGGAGGAUUGAAGGCCUUCGGGUCGUAAACUCCUUUUAUGAGGGAAGAUUAUGACGGUACCUCAUGAAUAAGCACCGGCUAACUACGUGCCAGCAGCCGCGGUAAGACGUAGGGUGCAAGCGUUAUCCGGAAUCACUGGGCGUAAAGGGUUCGUAGGUGGCUAAAUAAGUUCCUUUUUAAAGCCUGCUGCUCAACAGCAGAAAGGGAAGGAAUACUGUUUGGCUUGAGGCUAGCAGGGGCAAACGGAAUUUCCGGUGUAGCAGUGAAAUGCGUUGAUAUCGGAAGGAACACCAAUGGCGCAGGCAGUUUGCUAGGCUAGAUCUGACACUGAGGAACGAAAGCGUGGGGAGCGAAAGGGAUUAGAUACCCCUGUAGUCCACGCCGUAAACGAUGGGUACUAGGCAUCGGAAGUAUCGACCCUUUCCGUGCCGAAGCUAACGCGUUAAGUACCCCGCCUGGGAAGUACGGUCGCAAGACUAAAACUCAAAGGAAUUGACGGGGACUCGCACAAGCGGUGGAGCAUGUGGUUUAAUUCGACGACAAGCGAAGAACCUUACCAGGGUUUGACAUGUUAGGAAUCCCGAGGAAACUUGGGAGUGCCCGCAAGGGAGCCUAAACACAGGCGCUGCACGGUCGUCGUCAGCUCGUGUCGUGAGAUGUUCCGUUAAGUCGGGUAACGAGCGAGACCCCUGUCCUGUGUUAAAUUUUUCACAGGAGACUGCCUCGGUUAACGGGGAGGAAGGUGGGGAUGACGUCAGAUCAGCGUGGCCUUUAUAUCCUGGGCUACACACGUGCUACAAUGGCGGCUAACAAAGGGUGGCAAAGCGGUGACGCGGAGCUAAUCCCAUCAAACGCCGUCUCAGUUCGGAUUGAAGGCUGCAACUCGCCUUCAUGAAGUCGGAAUCGCUAGUAAUCGUGGAUCAGCCUCGCCACGGUGAAUACGUUCUCGAGUCUUGUACACACCGCCCGUCAAGUGAGCCGAGUCGGCAACACCAGAA